AUAAGAACGGACUUUGCAUUAUGGACAUUUGUACAUGUGAACAAAUCACAGAAGUAGCUCACGUGUCUGCCAGACACUGUCACAGUCGUGCUGCUGUGUGCUUACUGCACAGUGUGAGAUUGUAGAGUAUACUGUACAGUGCUCCGUGAGAGCCCAGGGUAUCCAGAAGCAGCAAGAGGAAAAGCAGUGGUGAUGUGGAGGGGACUGCUAGAAAGGACAAAGCAAUAACAAUGGAAACAAAAGUGAAAAUAAUUGACUGCUCAGACCAAGACAAAAAGAUCACGGACGUCACUCCGCUGUCUCCCACUUACCCUCGACUCCAGUUAGUUCUCUCAGUUCACCAGAGGCAAUCCCUCUAUGUGCCAGUUGUUAUAUUACACUGUGCCACCAUUGUAAGGUAACUGUUGUCACCUCUCGCAGUUCCAGCUGCCUCACUGCUGGGGCCCUGCCAGAGACACUCAUCCCGGAAAAACCAACGUGGUCAUGGUGGCUCUCAACGUGCCACCUAGUGAAGCGGAUGCGAGCUGUAGCUUCCCAGCCUGUCCCCAGGGCUUUGUUUCAUCAUAGUCACUUAACUUGUGCUUGUCAUCACCAGUCUCUCUGUCACAAAACUGUCUCUGCCAAAGCCCAGGCACAGUCUUCACUCA
rnacentral:lncRNA from 1 species